ensembl:snRNA U6 U6 spliceosomal RNA
GUUUGUUUCAGCAGCAUAUACACAAAAGUGGAACAACACAACUGAUUAGCAUGGCCCAUGCCCAAGGAUAACAUUCAAACUUGUGAAGCAUUCCAUGUUUGU